AUAAGAUAUCAAGGGCAACAGGUGAAUGCCUUGGCGCUGAGAGGCGAUGAAAGACGCGGUAAGCUGCGAUAAGCAUCGGGGAGGAGCUAAACAUCCUACGAUCCGAUGAUUUCUGAAUGGGGAAACCCGAUGGGAGUCAUGUCCCAUCAUCCUGAGCUGAAUAUAUAGGCCCAGAGAAGCCAACCCGGGGAAGUGAAACAUCUCAGUACCCGGAGGAAGAGAAAUCAAACGAGACUCCCAAAGUAGCGGCGAGCGAAAUGGGAAGAGCCCAAACCGAGUGGUUUCGACCAUUCGGGGUUGUAGGGCCGGCAUACGUGAUUCUGGAGUAGGCAGAGGAAGUGAGCUGGAAAGCUCCGCCACAGCGGGUGAUAGCCCCGUACUCGAAACCGAAAAGGACGCAGCCGGUACCUGAGUACUGCGAGGCACGUGGAACCUCGUGGGAAUCUAGGGGGACCAUCCUCUAAGGCUAAGUACUCCUCAGCGACCGAUAGUGAACUAGUACCGUGAGGGAAAGGUGAAAAGAACCCCUGUUAGGGGAGUGAAAUAGAAUCUGAAACCUGUUGCCUACAAGCUGCGAGAGCUACUUCGGUAGUGAUCGCGUGCCUUUUGUAUAAUGAGUCAGCGAGUUACUCUACCGUGCGAGGUUAAGCGAAAGCGUAGCCGUAGUGAAAGCGAGGCUUAAUAGGCCGACUAGUACGUUGGAGUAGACCCGAAACCGGGUGAUCUAUCCAUGAGCAGGUUGAAGCAAGGGUAAAGCCUUGUGGAGGACCGAACCGUCAACGGCUGAAAACGUUCCGGAUGACUUGUGGAUAGGGGUGAAAGGUCAAUCAAACCCGGUGAUAGCUGGUUCUCCCCGAAAUAUAUUGAGGUAUAGCCUCGGGAAUUGAUUAGCGGAGGUAAAGCACUGACAGAGCUAGGGGUCCUACCAGAUUACCAAACUCUAUCAAACUCAGAAUGCCGCUUAAUCGUAUCCCGGGAGUCAGACGGCGGGUGCGAAGGUUCGUCGUCAAAAGGGAAACAGCCCAGACCAACAGCUAAGGUCUCCAAAUCCAUGCUCAGUGGUGAAGGUAGUGGAACCGUUUAGACAGCCAGGACGUUGGCUUAGAAGCAGCCAUCGUUUAAAGAAAGCGUAAUAGCUCACUGGUCUAAUGGCUCUGCGCCGAAAAUGUAACGGGGCUAAGCAUGGUACCGAAGCUUUGGCAAUCUCCUUUGGAGAUUGGGUAGGGGAGCGUUCGCUGCGGGCUGAAGGUGUAUCGGAAGGUAUGCUGGACUGCAGUGAAGUGAUUAUGCUGACAUGAGUAACGAUAAAAUAUGUGAAAAACAUAUUCGCCGAAAACCCGAGGUUUCCUGGGUAAAGGUAAUCUUCCCAGGGUUAGUCGGAUCCUAAGGUGAGGGUGAAAGCCGUAACCGAUGGAAAACAGGUUAAUAUUCCUGUACUUGUUGUGUAGCGCGAUGGAGGGACGCAGGAAGAUAGGCGGGCCGGGUGUUGGAUAUCCCGGUGCAAGCGUGUAGGAAUAUCCGGUAGGCAAAUCCGCCGGACGAAUCUGAGACGCGAGUCCGUGGGCGCAAGCCCUGAAGCCGUUGAGUCUAUGCUGCCUAGAAAAGCUCCUAAGUUUAUCCACAGCAAUCCGUACCGCAAACCAACUCAGGUGGGUGGGAUGAACAAUCCAAGGCGCUCGAGAGAACUCUGGCCAAGGAACUCGGCAAAAUAACCCCGUAACUUCGGAAGAAGGGGUGCUCUCUAGGGUGACAUGUUUAACAUAUGAAGCCCCGGGGAGCCGCAGUGAAUUGGUGGUGGCGACUGUUUACUAAAAACAUAGGUCUGUGCGAAGUCCUAAAGACGACGUAUACGGACUGACGCCUGCCCGGUGCUGGAAGGUUAAAAGGAGGGGUCAGCGCAAGCAAAGCUCCGAAUUGAAGCCCCAGUAAACGGCGGCCGUAACUAUAACAGUCCUAAGGUAGCGAAAUUCCUUGUCGGGUAAGUUCCGACCCGCACGAAAGGC
rnacentral:rRNA from 1 species